GAGGACUGAGGAUUUCACUCUUCGCUCGUCCCCUUCAUUUAGUCCGCGGUAAAGAGGUCCGCCCAGGCAGUGUGCGGAUACUGUCUCCCUCUCCAACUACCGAAUAUUUGGUUUUAAACAUAUAUACUGCCGACAUAUUUCUCUGCAGAGAGGAAUGAGCAGCAGGAUAAAUCUCCAGUGACUUUUCGGAGGAGAGAGUGGCCCCCGGUGCCAGCAGGGCAGAUAGUUGUUGUCUGCCUGUGCCGCUGCUGCGGGCAGAGGACUACAAACGCUAGCUUACUUCUGCUUAUGUCUCCUGUAUGAAAUAACAGCGCCAAGAUGGACCUGAAGGUGAUCUUGAUAUCUCUGUUGUUAGGAGUCUUUUGCUACUGUAAUCCUCAGAAAGAGGGGAACGAGUGCAUCAGUGCCAAUGCCAAACACUGUGGGGAAUGCAUCCAGGCUGGAGCCAAAUGUGGCUGGUGUGAACAGGAAGUACGUGAACUGAAGUGUUCAGCUGUUCUCACUGCUGCGGAAGCCAUUUUU